GACGAACGCUGGCGGCGCGCUUAACACAUGCAAGUCGAGCGAGAACCAGGGCUUCGGCCCUGGGGACAGCGGCGAACGGGUGAGUAACACGUGGGUAAUCCACCCUCCGCACCGGAAUAGCCCGGGGAAACCCGGAUUAAUGCCGGAUGGCCCGCCGGCCCUGCGGGGCGGGCGGGAAAGGUAGCUUGCGCCUCCGGCCGAGGACGAGCCCGCGACGGAUUAGCUUGUUGGUGGGGUAACGGCCUACCAAGGCUGCGAUCCGUAGCUGGUCUGAGAGGACGAUCAGCCACACUGGGACUGAGACACGGCCCAGACUCCUACGGGAGGCAGCAGUGGGGAAUCUUGCGCAAUGGGCGAAAGCCUGACGCAGCGACGCCGCGUGAGGGAAGAAGGCCUUCGGGUUGUAAACCUCUUUCAGGAGGGACGAAGCCACUCGGGUUAAUAGCCCAGAGGGUGACGGUACCUCCAGAAGAAGCCCCGGCUAACUACGUGCCAGCCGCCGCCGUAA
rnacentral:rRNA from 1 species